rnacentral:rRNA from 1 species
AUUGAACGCUGGCGGCAUACCUUACACAUGCAAGUCGAACGGCAGCGGGCCUUCGGGUGCCGGCGAGUGGCGAACGGUGAGUAAUGCAUCGGAACGUGCCAUUGAGUGGGGGAUAACGUAGCGAAAGUUACGCUAAUACCGCAUAUUCUGUGAGCAGGAAAGCAGGGGACCGCAAGGCCUUGCGCUCUUUGAGCGGCCGAUGUCAGAUUAGCUAGUUGGUGAGGUAAAGGCUUACCAAGGCGACGAUCUGUAGCGGGUCUGAGAGGAUGAUCCGCCACACUGGAACUGAGACACGGUCCAGACUCCUACGGGAGGCAGCAGUGGGGAAUUUUGGACAAUGGGCGCAAGCCUGAUCCAGCCAUGCCGCGUGAGUGAAGAA